rnacentral:rRNA from 1 species
CGUAGGGGGCUAGCGUUGUCCGGAUUCAUUGGGCGUAAAGCGCGUGUAGGCGGCCAGAUAGGUCUGCUGUGAAAACUCGAGGCUCAACCUCGAGCUGUCGGCGGAAACCAUUUGGCUAGAGUCCGGAAGAGGAGAGUGGAAUUCCCGGUGUAGCGGUGAAAUGCGCAGAUAUCGGGAAGAACACCUGUGGCGAAGGCGGCUCUCUGGGACGGUACUGACGCUGAGACGCGAAAGCGUGGGGAGCAAACAGGAUUAGAUACCCUGGUAGUCCACGCCGUAAACGAUGGGUGCUAGGUGUGGGGAGUGUCGACUCUCUCCGUGCCGAAGCUAACGCAUUAAGCACCCCGCCUGGGGAGUACGGCCGCAAGGCUA